rnacentral:lncRNA from 1 species
UAAUUAAUAAGGAUGAUUUUGGAUUUUUAUAAAAUACAUGAGGAUAUUUAUGAAAUUGUAUUAAGUAUAAAAUUGAAUCUCAAAAUCAAAUUUUAAAAUUUGCUAUAGAAUGAGCCUCUCAAAAGUAAUCCCAAGCAAGAUUUUAUAAUUGUGACAAGAAUUUCAAACACUAAUAUGGUAAAUAAAAAAAAGUUAAGCAUACAUUUAUCAUUAUACACGUUUAACAUUUUUUUUCUAAUUAUUUCAUUAUAUAAAAUAGUUUUAUAUACUCAAAAUCUAAAUAUUUCGGUCCAUAUAUAUCUACACAAAUAUUAGAAUAUAUAUAUAAAAAAAAAAAACUAAGUACCGUGUAAUAAAAAUGAGUGAACAUAACUUGAUUAGGAGUUUGAAAUCAGUAAUCAACUUGUUGAUCGUGUCAUAAACACAUUACAACUAGUGUUAGAGAAUUUUAAACUCAAACUCGACACAAUUGUUAAACACGUGACAUAUUUAACUCAAUUAAUAAUUUGUAUCCGUUUUAUGUCAAUUAAAACUCGCAAACUUUGUAUUGUAUUGAUACCAAGUUGAUGGGUCGCAUUACAAAUUGUCAACCCCUAAUUACAUAAUAUAAAUGUCUUACUGUGUUAUUUUAUUAAGAAGGACAUCGCUAUCUACACUUUUUUGAAUGGGAGGACACAAUUUUGGUCAUCAUUUAUGAGGACUUGGACUCUUCUACCCGAACGUUGGGCAGAGGUGCCUUUAUGAAGCCGCCAUGGAGCAGUAUAAUGUAUGUGACUGAUGCAUUUUUUUGUUCAAUAACUUUAUACUUGUAGAAUUAAUUAUACGUAAAGUCUGCAUAAUAAUAAUAAUCCACGCAACAGCUAUAAAUAAAUUAACCAUGAGUCCAUUCCAUCGUUGACUAUUCAAUGAUUCUAUUAUUAAAAAGGAUAAUUCCGUUGGACUGGUAGGUUACGGCACUCGGAUAAUUUAGAAAUUAUAAAUUAUAUUUAUUAAUUUUUUAAAUUAUAUUAUACAUAAAAUUAUUAUUAAUAUUUCAUCAGAUAUUAUAAUUAAUAUUUAUAUUAGAUUAUAUAAUUAAAAUGUAUGUUUUAAAAUAUUAUCUAAAUUUUUUAAAUUCUCUUUAAUAUUUGAAAGGAUAAUUAUUUUAUUUAUAUUUUAUAAAAAAUAAUCCGUCGCUAUUUAAUUAUUUAGUAAUCGAAGAAGAGCCGGAACUACUCUCAUAAAGAUUUUAUGAACUCUUCUUCUCGUUAUUUGUAAUUGCAAGGCUGGAUAGGUAUCAAUCACUUGUUAUGACGUGGGAACCUUUGCAGUUUACACGCGACCCUACAAUAGGGCUAUAAUUGACAAUUACACGUAGGACACAUUUUUUGGUCUUUCUUUUUAUUUGAGAAAGUCAGCACCUAGAAUUUGCUGGAACUGCCACAUAAUAAUACUAUACAUUAUUAGAGCCUCAGAGGGACCACGUCAACUUUCGUUAGUGUGUGUGUGUCUAUCGAAUCAUUUAUUAACCUCACAUGUACGCAGACUUAGGUUUUGGUGCCUUUGUUUGGAGAUCCACCGCAGGCUGGCUCCACACUUUCUCUGCGGAUUGUUAAUGUGGUUGUUGAAGAAUUAAAUUUGGUCAUAAUUAGUUUUAACCAACGGGACAACGACCCCCGCUCUCAUCUGCCUAGCAUAAAUGACGCCACUACUGUUUCGACAACCAUGAGAAAGUGAUCCGGUCAGGAAGAUUUAAAACUCGCAUUCCCACUCUCCACUUCCUUAAUUUCAAGUCCAAGUGCAUCGCCCUUAAAAUCGAAUUCAUCUUUACGGCUCAUAUCACUAUUAUUGUGUGACUUGUAGCAGUUGCUUGGCUGGAAGCAGCAGGCAACUUAAUCCCUGCUGCUUCUUCGUUUUUCAUUUGAAUAAAUUAAGCACGGAGCAGAGGCCAACAACCAAUUUACAACGCAGUCCAAAAAAGUUUAGUCAAGACUGUGAUUUAAUGGUAAUGACGUUGAUCGAUGAUGCUUCCCGUCCUGUCAAAGCUGAACCCCACCCGUAAAUUUUGAAUAUUCACUUUUAAAAUGUGAUGCCACGUGCGUGCGUAUGUGGAUUGGACUGACCAAUACUUUGACGUUCAUAUUGGUUUAGGACCAUUCAUAAUUCUGACUUAAAUCGUUUCCAUUAAUAUCGAUUUUUCUAGAGGAAUAAUCAGCCACUUAAAGCAAAGGAAUAAUUGCCUUUCUUGCACGGAAGCACGGAUAUUCCAGGAUUAAAAUCCUAGCCUAACUCCGACGCCAGGGAUUGGCAUCUAUUCCUAAGAAAAAUUAACUAAUCACAACCGCUUAUAUAAUAAUUAUAAU